ACGUUAAAGUCGCGACUUAAUAAAUUAAAAUUAAUAAUUAUAAAGGCACCUCCAAAAAGUGAUGUUUGGAUUUAUUUAAAAAAAUAGAUAAUGAAUAUGCGAUGUGCAAAGAUUGCCUUAAAAAUGUUGCGCAUAGUGGCAACACAUAAAAUUUAAGGAAACAUAUCAUGACCAGACAUCCAAAUAUAUUAAAAAAGACUAAUGUGACAACAUCUCAAAAAAAAAACAGUCGAAAUUGUCUUCUUCAUAAAUAACAAACGGUCAUCUGUGCCCGCCCCGUCUGCAUCUAUUGGAAGUCCAAAGACUUACAUUUUCAUUAGAAGAUUCUGGACCAGAAGAAUGUGUGGAUUGUCCCCUAAUUUUAAAGCAACCUAUUGUCGAAGCUUUUAAUCGAAUUAGCUCUUAUUCUGAAGGUGGUGUUCGUUAUAGUGAAAUAACAUUAUGUUUACUUUAUUUUAUUUGCAAAGAUCAUUGGUCAUUUUCUGUCAUUGAAGGUGAACAAUUUAAAUGGUUGUUACAUGAAUUUGUACCUUCAUACAAAAUUCCAUCGGUAACCACAGUAAAACUAGCACUUGAUGACAAAUACAAUAUUAUUAAGAAUAGAUUAAAAUCUCGUUUAUCAGUAUCUUCCUAUGUAUCACUUACAUUUGAUGUAUGAACCAAAACUAUGUCCGAAAAAAGUUUUCUCGGAGAGACUUUUCAUUUCCUUGAUGUUAUUUCAUUAAAAUCAUAUUAUAUGGCAGUUCCAGAAUUAAAAGAAUGGCAUACUGCUGAAUACAUUCAUCAGGUACUUGUACAGAUUUUAUCUGAUUGGGAAAUAAGUUGUAUCGAGCUGUGACUACGUAAUCAAUUAAUAUAUUUAAAUAUGACAGCUAGUGCCAUGCAUUAAUAGGAAUAAUACUAAAAUAUAACUAAUUGCUACAAAAAUAACCGUGGCGACGGCAUAGGUGAACAUAUAAUAGUAAUAAUACAAGGGUACCGCACGACGCGCUACGGAACAAAUUAAAAUCAAUUUAACUGAAGAAACUAAUUUAGAAAAGGAAACCAAGAAAAGAUUGUUACCUGACAAUUUGGAAUAUACUACCAAGCCAAUCAGUAACGAAUAUGCAACAACACAAUCAACACCUCAAACAAAUUUGAACGAAACUAUUAACAUUUCUACCACAGCUACCAGUUAACAAAUGAAGAAAUAACAAACAAGAAAUUAAGUUUAACAACCGAAGCCAAUAAAAUAUCCAUUAACAGUAAUUCGUACGAAACCACAGAAUAGAAUAAUCAGAAAGGACACUGAUAAGAAAUAACACAGUAACCAUAGGCUGGUGUGAAAAUCAGUCCACCAUGUUUUUGGAGGAAAACUCAGUGUGACCAGAAGGAAAAAAUAAAUUAUGCUACUUCAUAUAUGUUCAAUUUUAACUGUAUUUCAAGUUAGAUAAUUAAUAGUUUUUAAAAGUUCAUAAUACAAACACAGAAUAGUCAAUAGAAUAAUAGAUACAAAUUUCAAAGUGACAUGAUUAAUAAUAAUCUU